AAGGAAGCACCUGUAAGACUUGUCCUCUGUCUGAUGUUGUUGAUGUGCUGCACAAAAUACAAAGCUGCUCUGACUGUGAGUCCCAGCAGAACUCAGUUCUUUCCCAGAGACUCUGUGUCUCUGAGCUGUGAGGAGAACAACAGCUCUGCUGGAUGGACUGUAUGGAGGAACACAACCAAAAGAAACAGGACUCAGUGUGGAGAUGAAUGGGGGAAACCAGCUGGAUCUACCUGUAAGAUCAGAUACCUGUACACAUUAGACAGUGGAGUUUAC